GACGAACGCUGGCGGCGUGCUUAACACAUGCAAGUCGAACGGAAAGGCCCUGCUUUUGUGGGGUGCUCGAGUGGCGAACGGGUGAGUAACACGUGAGUAACCUGCCCUUGACUUUGGGAUAACUUCAGGAAACUGGGGCUAAUACCGGAUAGGAGCUCCUGCUGCAUGGUGGGGGUUGGAAAGUUUCGGCGGUUGGGGAUGGACUCGCGGCUUAUCAGCUUGUUGGUGGGGUAGUGGCUUACCAAGGCUUUGACGGGUAGCCGGCCUGAGAGGGUGACCGGCCACAUUGGGACUGAGAUACGGCCCAGACUCCUACGGGAGGCAGCAGUGGGGAAUAUUGCGCAAUGGGCGGAAGCCUGAUGCAGCAACGCCGCGUGCGGGAUGACGGCCUUCGGGUUGUAACCCGCUUUCGCCUGUGACGAAGCGUGAGUGACGGUAAUGGGUAAAGAAGCACCGGCUAACUACGUG
rnacentral:rRNA from 1 species